UAGGGAAUCUUCCACAAUGGGCGCAAGUCUGAUGGAGCAACGCCGCGUGAGUGAAGAAGGUUUUCGGAUCGUAAAGCUCUGUUGUUGGUGAAGAAGGAUAGAGGCAGUAACUGGUCUUUAUUUGACGGUAAUCAACCAGAAAGUCACGGCUAACUACGUGCCAGCAGCCGCGGUAAUACGUAGGUGGCAAGCGUUGUCCGGAUUUAUUGGGCGUAAAGCGAGCGCAGGCGGAAUGAUAAGUCUGAUGUGAAAGCCCACGGCUCAACCGUGGAACUGCAUCGGAAACUGUCAUUCUUGAGUGCAGAAGAGGAGAGUGGAAUUCCAUGUGUAGCGGUGGAAUGCGUAGAUAUAUGGAAGAACACCAGUGGCGAAGGCGGCUCUCUGGUCUGCAACUGACGCUGAGGCUCGAAAGCAUGGGUAGCGAACAGG
rnacentral:rRNA from 1 species